UGACCUGCGGAAGGAUCAUUACUGAGUGAGGGCCCUCUGGGUCCAACCUCCCACCCGUGUUUAUUGUACCUUGUUGCUUCGGUGCGCCCGCCUCACGGCCGCCGGGGGGCUUCUGCCCCCGGGUCCGCGCGCACCGGAGACACUAUUGAACUCUGUCUGAAGAUUGCAGUCUGAGCAUAAACUAAAUAAGUUAAAACUUUCAACAACGGAUCUCUUGGUUCCGGCAUCGAUGAAGAACGCAGCGAAAUGCGAUAACUAAUGUGAAUUGCAGAAUUCAGUGAAUCAUCGAGUCUUUGAACGCACAUUGCGCCCCCUGGUAUUCCGGGGGGCAUGCCUGUCCGAGCGUCAUUGCUGCCCUCAAGCACGGCUUGUGUGUUGGGCUCCGUCCCCCCGGGGACGGGUCCGAAAGGCAGCGGCGGCACCGAGUCCGGUCCUCGAGCGUAUGGGGCUUUGUCACCCGCUCUGUAGGCCCGGCCGGCGCCAGCCGACAACCAAUCAUCCUUUUUUCAGGUUGACCUCGGAUCAGGUAGGGAUACCCGCUGAACUUAAGCAUAUCAAUAA
rnacentral:rRNA from 1 species